AUGCUGGCAACGUUGUUCCAAGCACUGAGUGCAGGAUUAAAUACCCUACAAGUUCGCCAAAUAUACGCGGCCACUGUGGCAGGUAUGGCCAAGGAAGCGGCAAGAGUUUCCAACACGGAGAGAGCACUCGACGUCCCCCCUUCUCGUCGACCCCCUACCGAGGAUGACAUCAACGACUUCGUGAAGAUGCUGGCAACGGUGUUCCAACUACAGUUUCGAGGAUUAAAUCUCGUACAAGUUAGCUACAUCUUCCUGGCCGCUUUGGGAUGUAUGAUCGAAGAAGCGGUAAAAAGACAGGAGAGGGAAAACGUUCAUAUGCGUCAAAAGUACAAAUGCGGACUACAUUUGCCUUUGCAUUGAAAUAUUCUUCUAAUGGGUUAGGUUGACCAACAACAAUGACCGCAAUCGUCUUCUUACCUCCUUUCCUAGGAACACUCUCAAG
rnacentral:lncRNA from 1 species